rnacentral:rRNA from 1 species
GAUCCAGCCAUGCCGCGUGGGUGAAGAAGGCCUUCGGGUUGUAAAGCCCUUUUGUUGGGGACGAAAUCGUNCGGGUGAAUAUCCCGUGCGGAUGACGGUACCCAAAGAAUAAGCACCGGCUAACUUCGUGCCAGCAGCCGCGGUAAUACGAAGGGUGCAAGCGUUACUCGGAAUUACUGGGCGUAAAGCGUGCGUAGGCGGUUCGUUAAGUCAGAUGUGAAAGCCCCGGGCUCAACCUGGGAAUGGCAUUUGAUACUGGCGGGCUAGAGUACGGUAGAGGGUGGUGGAAUUCCCGGUGUAGCAGUGAAAUGCGUAGAGAUCGGGAGGAACAUCCGUGGCGAAGGCGGCCACCUGGACCAGUACUGACGCUGAGGCACGAAAGCGUGGGGAGCAAACAGGAUUAGAUACCCUGGUAGUCCACGCCCUAAACGAUGCGAACUGGAUGUUGGGGGCACACAGGCCUUCAGUAUCGAAGCUAACGCGUUAAGUUCNCCGCCUGGGGAGUACGGUCGCAAGACUGAAACUCAAAGGAAUUGAC